rnacentral:rRNA from 1 species
GAAGUAAAAGUCGUAACAAGGUUUCCGUAGGUGAACCUGCGGAAGGAUCAUUAUCGAGAGGGGCGUCAGCCUCAGGGGGUUUCGGCUCCCGACUCUUUACCCUGUGGCUACACGGUCCGUGUUGCUUUGGCGGUCAAACCGCCGCCAGAAACCCUUCAAAACUCUGAUAUCAUUGUGGUCCGAGUCAUAUGCAAUAACUAAAACUUUCAACAACGGAUCUCUUGGUUCUGGCAUCGAUGAAGAACGCAGCGAAAUGCGAUAAGUAAUGUGAAUUGCAGAAUUCAGUGAAUCAUCGAAUCUUUGAACGCACAUUGCGCCCCUUGGUAUUCCGAGGGGCAUACCUGUUCGAGCGUCAUUACACCCCUCAAGCUUGGCUUGGUGUUGGGCUCCCGUCCCCUGGGACGGGCCCGAAGAGCAGUGGCGGUCCGACGUGGACUUCAAGCGCAGUAAACACGUUCGCUUGGAAGGCUCGCUUGGCCCUUGCCAGACAACCCCCAUCAUUCAAUCCGUUUGACCUCGGAUCAGGU